CCUACGGGUGGCUGCAGUGAGGAAUAUUGGUCAAUGGGUGCAAGCCUGAACCAGCCAUCCCGCGUGAAGGACGACUGCCCUAUGGGUUGUAAACUUCUUUUGUAUAGGGAUAAACCUACCCUCGUGAGGGUAGCUGAAGGUACUAUACGAAUAAGCACCGGCUAACUCCGUGCCAGCAGCCGCGGUAAUACGGAGGGUGCAAGCGUUAUCCGGAUUUAUUGGGUUUAAAGGGUCCGUAGGCGGACUUAUAAGUCAGUGGUGAAAGCCUGUCGCUU
rnacentral:rRNA from 1 species